AAUGCACAUUUAUCAUCUAACUAUUUAAGUGUGUCAUCACUAGGGACUCAGCCUAGCUAGGUCCUCUGGGUAGGAUUAUGAGGCUGUGAGCAAGGGAUAAUCUAGACUUGGUUCUCAGGUAAAGACUUGGUUCCGCUGGGGAAGAAAUCUACUUCCAAGUCUCUAUGUCCUUUCUAUGUAGCUCUGAAACCACAGCCUGUUAUAGGUGGCCACCCUCAGUCGCUAAAUGCCUCACACAAUUCCACAGGUGUCUUUAGCAUCUAUAGGUCUUGAUAAAAAGAUAAAAGGCUAGCCUCUAGGGUGAGUCUUCUGCAAAGAGUAUCUUAGAUGUGCCAGAACCCCAAUAGCAGUGUCCUGCCUUUGCCCUGUGUUUUUGAUGAAAAACAAGUAAUGAGUUCUGCCUAUGCUCAAGGGGAGAAGAUUACAUAAAAGCAAGAUCAACAGGCAGAGAUUAGGAGAGCUGCCCCCGAGAGCCUUAGAAUCUACCUGCCACCAUUGUUGAUCUGUGUCAUUAUCUAUGUUACUUCUUGCUUUUGCUAUGCACCGCACCCUUCUAGUACUUCUAAAUAAUAGGCAAUAGCAGCAGCUGCUGACCCUGCCCAUCAUCACAUAAACCUCCCCUCAAUAAACAAAAGGACACUGCUCUCUCCUAACGGAAGAUCCAAGUCUCUAUCAGUUACCAGAAUCCAUCCACGGCUGAUGUUUGCUCCUCUUUAAUCAUUCUCGAUCUGAUCUUGACAUCCUGCACUGUGUAAACUAAAUGAUACGUUAAUUAAUAUCACCUGCUAUAAAACAGAAAGAAGAGAGACUAUUGUAGAAAAUUGAUAUUAUAUAUGAAUAUAUAAUACUUAAGAAGGAUGGAGAAACUGUUUAUCUCCUGCAGUCCUCAUUUAUACAACAGGUCAGGGCUAUCAUUGUGUUGGGGAGGGUUUGGUCUGAUAAUAUCAUAAACUUUUUAUGGUAUGUACAUCUGUGGAUAUUAACAUGUAUAUACUUGUAUCACAACAAGAAUACAGAAUAGUUUCUUUGCCCUAAAAACAAAGUCCCUCAUGUCACAUUUAUGUAUUCUUUCACAUACCUCACCAGCCACUGAUCAGUUAUGUACCUUAUAAAACAGCAGGUGACUGAUUUCCCAGCAUCCUUACCCCUUAUAGCCAUGUAACUAAGGAAUGGUUCAUCAGACAUGUGUUCCUAGAAUUUCUGAAUGAUAGGCAAGGCAUAGGAAAGGCAGGGAAUGCAGUGCAUUCUGGCAAUAGUGGUCUCUGGUUCUGGAGUAGGGGUUAAAGGGAUUUUGAAUGCCCACAAUUUAUCCACCACCACCACCAUUUUUAAUUUGAUUGUAUUAGUAUUUCAGUACUUUCCAGUUUGGUUUUUAUCAGCUAUAUUCUGUUUGAGGGCUUGAAGUAGAAAUCUGGGUGACACUGAUACCCUAUGCCAUGGUAUCUCUGAAGGCAAGGCAAAUUAUACCAGCAACUUCAUUACUAGACAUCCACUCAGGCAUCAGGAAAAGCACAUUGCCUUUCUUCUUAAGCCCACAUUGUGCUACAGUUUCUAUUUCUGUCAUCAAAACUACAUUUUUGCAACCAUCCCAUCCAUCAAUAGACACCCCAAUUCCACCCAUCUCCCUUUGCAGGUAUCAUCUUUUCGAGAUUAGUUUUAAACUUGUCUUCAUUUUUAUUUUUUAAUUAUGUGUAUGUGUGAGGUGAGCACAUACAUAUGAAUAUAGGUAACCUUGGAGUCCAGAAUGCAUCAGAACUCCCGAGACUGGAGUCAUGGGCCAUUUGUGAGCCACUAGAUAUAAGCUGGGAGACCAAUUCAAUUCCGGUACAAGAGCAACAAAAUGUUAAUUGCUGAACCAUCUCUCUGAUUUCUGCUUUGAAGAUAUGUUUUUAAAGAGGUAGUUUUAUUUUAUGUGCAUGAGUGUUUGCCUAUGUAUGUGCAUCACAUUCAUUUUUUUUGUGCCCAUUGAAGCCAGAGGGGGGCGGGGAUCCCCUGGAUCUGGAGUUAGAGAUGGUUGUGAGCCACCAUGUGGGUGCUGGGAACUGAAUUUGGGUGCUCUGGAAGAGUAGCAAGUGCUCUUAACUACUGAGCCAUGCCCCCCUCCUCAUGCUUUUAAGAUCUUGAUCUUUCCAGUGAUCUGCAGUUUCUUAUGGUUCAUCUGGCUAUUAAAUGUAUUCAUUUUAUUUUGUGUAUGGGUUUUUUUUUCAUACGUGUAUAUUUAUAACUGGUGCUCACAGAGGCCAGAGGGUGGCACCAGACCCUCCCUAGAAUUGGAGUUACACAUGGUUAUGAGCUGUCAUGUGGGUGCUAGAAACUGAACCUGGGUCUACUGGAAGUACCCAGCACUCUUUAUCCACUAGCCAUGGCACAGACCCUCUGGGUCCCUUUGUCUUCGUGGAACGGGUCUCUGGUCACAGGUGGGCAAAGAGUUGGCGAAUGACAGACAGACCAACACGGGAGAUUGUGUAAAAUCUGAAUGUAAUUUGUCAAAUUGAGCAUCAAACUUUUUAUACAGAAGAAAAUAGGGAAGUUAGGUGACACAUCGGCAAGAUACAAAUGAGGUUACCGGAUGCUGGAUGCUUAAUGACUCUUACACAAAACAGAGGAAUGUAAGCACAAAGACUGGCAGGAACUGGGCAAUAAAACAACUGAGACAAAGUCAGCCCUAUCUAAGGUCAGCUAUAGUCUUAGAAGCCAGGUGUGAGGUCUUUAUACUCCUAGGGCAAGGGCUUUCACACCCAAGUCAUGGUUCUAACUAGGGAGUUCCGUUCUAGCUAACCAUCUCAUGAAUAAUGCAAUACUCUAAAACCACAGCCCGAUCUACUUCCUAAACCAUUGUAAAUUCCUGUAUAUGGGAGCGACUUGGCUUUUAUUCUAAGUGAUAGUGUAAUACCAGAGGCAAUUCUGAAUGUCACUGAAUAGGCAACAUUGAAUUCCAAGCCCAUGGUCAGCUCAAGGACUUUCUAGGACGUUGGAACACUGGCGAAGGCUUAGCUAUGUCAGAAUUCAAUCUUAAAAGGCACUUAUAAUAAAAUAAUACUAAAAGAGAGCACGUGGAUCCAUACACCAGACUAACGCAGGAAUAGGGUAUGAGUAUAUGGGUUAAUGAGAACUCCAAAACUCCAGGAGGUGAGUUUCUGUGAAACUCUUUGCCUCGUGAGCACUUCCAGGCCUCUCAGCCUGUCAAGCAGACUUCAUCGGAUUAUGCGUGGCAUCCCCCCCCCUUUUUUUUUUCAGCCGAAGUUCUAGAAUGUCCCGUCUUGUCGUAGCUACAGUUCUCAAGAGUGCUCUAAAGAUGAGUGGAAAUACAAUGAUUACUAAUAAAACAAUGCCAAUAAUAAUAGCAAGUAGGAUUAUAUAUUGAACCCAAUCCAUGGGGUUUCAAUGCACUUAGGUUAUUUUUUAAAUCUCUAGCCAAUUCAUCAAUGUUCCAAGUGUCUAAAUGACUUUUGCCAAUAUUUGAAAUUUCGCCUUUCUAGCCUUAAUGUAUGUUAUAUCCUGUUCUAUUACUAAGACUACUACUUCUAAGACAUCUUUUGCCUCCAUUUUUUUAUAAUAUGUUGCUCUGAUAAAGCUAUGGAAAUAUUCCUAUGUUUAUCGUUAACAAAAUGAGCAGUAUGCAGCUGCUGAUCUAAAGCUGUGGUAGAUACCUUUUCAAAGUUUGCAUUCCCAGAUUUUUAAAUCAAGGAUCCUUUCCUAACUCUAAUAGACAGCAAAACAUAAGCAGGUCUUUUUAACAAAAUCAUAACAGCAGAUUGCUUAUAUAAAUUAGGAUGUACACAAUUAAUUAAUUGACAAGAAUUACAAUGAAUAUGAAAAGACUUGCCAAGAUUGGUGAUCUUAACUCUUAAAAUUAUCUAACAAUAUAGCAUACAGGUAAGGUACACAAGCUUUUACAGCUAUCGGGGAGUUGGCCUGAAUGGCCAAAAACAGUGUCUCUGAUGAAAUCUUGUCCAAUACUCUGUAGCAGUCCCUCUGCCUCACGAGUCAGCUGUUUUAAGUUGUCCCCAAGUUGACAGCAAGUUGGCUCUCCUUGCUGUAGCCCAUAGCGGAGAUAGGAAGAGUUUCUUUAUUUUGCUUGUGUCUGCUCUCUCCAAUUUCUCCUUCUCUGUGUGCUCAAUACAGCUUUCUUGUCACCACUGUCAGGGCACUAUCAGUUCCUACUCACAGGUCAGCCUGUCACAUUGGAAGCUAGUGUGCUCUUGCAGCAUUCUGUGGAAAAAACAGAAACAUUGCCCCCUUUCCCCCAUAUUAGGUAUCUGAACAGGAUCUUGCCAUGUGCCAAUAAGUAGAUCCCUUCAUCUCAUGAGUAUGCCUGGUUUUAGGGUGCCAUAGAUACUCAGAGAGAUUUUUGGCAUCCAAAUUUAGAUUUUUUUUGAAGAUAUAGAUUUAAAGUUCCACAGUACCGUUUCCUUGAGAAUUAUAGAAAUCUCAGUAACAUGGGUAACAUUAAAUUGUAGACAAAACAUCUCAAAUGCUUGGCUGUAAUAGCCAGUUUUAAUUUGAUUCGGAACACCAAGCC
rnacentral:lncRNA from 1 species